UGGGUUGUAGCUCAGUGGUAGAGCACUUGCCUAGCAUGUGUGAGGCACUGGGUUCAAUCCUCAGCACCACAU
rnacentral:tRNA from 1 species